rnacentral:rRNA from 1 species
CCCACCAAGGCGACGAUGGGUAGCCGGCCUGAGAGGGUGUCCGGCCACACUGGGAUUGAGAUACGGCCCAGACUCCUUCGGGAGGCAGCAGUCGAGAAUCUUCCCCAAUGGGCGAAAGCCUGAGGGAGCGACGCCGCGUGAGGGAUGAAGGCCCUUUGGGUUGUAAACCUCUGUUAGGGGGAAAGAACAGCAGUGGGAGCAAUAUGUCCAUUGCCUGACGUUACCCCCAGAGAAAGCUCCGGCCAACUCCGUGCCAGCAGCCGCGGUAAUACGGGGGGAGCAAGCGUUGUCCGGAAUCAUUGGGCGUAAAGGGCGUGUAGGCGGUUUGGCAAGUCGAAUGUGAAAUCCCACGGCUCAACCGUGGAACUGCGUUCGAAACUGCCUUACUUGAGUGCGGGAGAGGUGUGCGGAAUUCCUGGUGUAGCGGUGGAAUGCGUAGAUAUCAGGAAGAACACCGGUGGCGAAGGCGGCACACUGGCCCAGCACUGACGCUGAGGCGCGAAAGCGUGGGGAGCGAACGGGAUUAGAUACCCCGGUAGUCCACGCUGUAAACUUUGGGCACUAGGUAUUGGAGGUCUCAACCCCUUCAGUGCCGUAGCUAACGCG